UCUUACGGAUGAACAAAGAAAGUGGUUUCUUGAGAUGGAAUCUGCUCCUGGUGAAGGUGCUGUGAA
rnacentral:pre_miRNA from 1 species